rnacentral:rRNA from 1 species
AUGGCUCAGGAUGAACGCUGGCGGCGUGCCUAAUACAUGCAAGUCGAACGAGCGAGAUCCAGCUUGCUGGAUUAGCGAGUGGCGAACGGGUGAGUAAUACGUAAGCAACCUGCCUACACGGACUGGGAUAACACCUGGAAACGGGCGCUAAUACCGGAUAGGUAACGAGAGGGCAUCCUCUUGUUAUUAAAGGUUUGAAACACAAGUAGAUGGGCUUACGGUGCAUUAGCUAGUUGGUGAGGUAACGGCCCACCAAGGCGAUGAUGCAUAGCCGGCCUGAGAGGGUGAACGGCCACAUUGGGACUGAGACACGGCCCAGACUCCUACGGGAGGCAGCAGUAGGGAAUUUUCGGCAAUGGGCGCAAGCCUGACCGAGCAACGCCGCGUGAAGUGAAGAAGGUUUUCGGAUCGUAAAGCUCUGUUGUAAGGGAAGAAUGGCGCGGAUAGACUCCGCGAUUGACGGUACCUUACCAGAAAGCCACGGCUAACUACGUGCCAGCCGCAGC